UUCUUAGAGGGACUAUCGGBUCAAGCCGAUGGAAGUUUGAGGCAAUAACAGGUCUGUGAWKSCCUUAGAUKUUNUGGGCCGCACGCGYGAUACACUGACAGAGCCAACGAGUAUAAACCUUAACCGAGAGGUUUGGGUAAUCUUGUUAAACUCUGUCGUGCUGGGGAUAGAGCAUUGCAAUUAUUGCUCUUCAACGAGGAAUAUYUAGUAAGCGCAAGUCAUCAGCUUGCGUUGAUUACGUCCCUGCCCUUUGUACACACCGCCCGUCGCUACUACCGAUUGAAUGGCUCAGUGAGGCCUUCGGACUGGCUCAGGAAGGUUGGCAACAACCAUCCAGAGCCGGAAAGUUGGUCAAACUUGGUCAUUUAGAGGAAGUAAAAGUCGUAACAAGGUUUCCGUAGGUGAACCUGCGGAAGGAUCAUUAUCAAAACAAAUCUGCGUUCAGGUUCGCCCUGUCCGUAGUAUUUAAACCAAAUGUGAACCAAAACCCUUAUGCUUCGGUAGCAGGGUGGACUUAGUUGCCCACUUGUCAGCCUACCGGCAGCGCCAAACCAAAACUUGUUUUAAAAUUUUUGUCUGAAACCAUCAUUUUCGAAUGAAAAUUAAAACUUUCAACAACGGAUCUCUUGGUUCUCGCAUCGAUGAAGAACGCAGCGAAACGCGAUAGUUAAUGUGAAUUGCAGAAUUCAGUGAAUCAUCGAGUCUUUGAACGCACAUUGCGCCCAUCGGUAUUCCUUUGGGCAUGUCUGUUUGAGCGUCAUUUCAACUCUCUGACCGCAAAUUUUUAAUUUACGGUUGGGUUUUGGGCACGGAUCGAAGGGGUGAUUCCCAGACCGGCCUUAAAGUUGAACGCUCUGCGGGUGACUCUCAACCUGACCGAACAUAGUAAAUUUUGAAUUGUUCAACCCGGUUUUCAGUUUUUGACCCAGCCUGAAUAAAAAAAUCUUUUUUAAAGGUUUGACCUCAGAUCAGACAAGGAUACCCGCUGAACUUAAGCAUAUCAAUAAGCGGAGGAAAAGAAACCAACAGGGAUUGCCUCAGUAACGGCGAGUGAAGCGGCAACAGCUCAAAUUUGAAAUCUGGAGUCUUUGGCUUCCGAGUUGUAAUUUGAAGAGGAUGCUUCGGUUGUGGCCUGGGCCUAAGUUCCUUGGAACAGGACGUCGUAGAGGGUGAGAAUCCCGUACACGGCUACCGGCUUACUUCCAUGUGUAGCUCCUUCGAAGAGUCGAGUUGUUUGGGAAUGCAGCUCAAAAUGGGUGGUAAAUUUCAUCUAAAGCUAAAUACUGGCGAGAGACCGAUAGCGCACAAGUAGAGUGAUCGAAAGAUGAAAAGCACUUUGAAAAGAGAGUUAAACAGUACGUGAAAUUGUUGAAAGGGAAGCGUUUGCAAUCAGACUUGCUUUCGGUUGAUCAACGUUCCUUUUGGUUCGUGCACUCUGCCGUUCGCAGGCCAGCAUCAGUUCGAGCGGUGGGACAAAGACUGUGGGAAUGUAGCUCUCUUCGGGGAGUGUUAUAGCCCACUGUGUAAUGCCACCUGUUCGGACUGAGGUCCGCGCUUUUGCUAGGAUGCUGGCAUAAUGGUUGUAAACGGCCCGUCUUGAAACACGGACCAAGGAGUCUAACAUCUAUGCGAGUGUUUGGGUGUCAAACCCAUACGCGUAAUGAAAGUGAAUGGAGGUGGGAGUCUUCGGAUGCCCCAUCGACCGAUCCUGAUGUCUUCGGAUGGAUUUGAGUAGGAGCAUAGCUGUUGGGACCCGAAAGAUGGUGAACUAUGCCUGAAUA
rnacentral:rRNA from 1 species